AUUUGAUACAGAUGGAUUUUGUCUGUACAGAUCAGAUUUCUCUUUUUACUAGACCUGUCUUCAUUUAUUUGUGUGCGGCUCCUUGGUAUAUUUAGUUUGCUGAGGAAGUCUUCAACAUCAGCGCAUUGACGACACAGUUGGUAUAUCAAGUGGAUUUAAUUUUGAGGACACAUCAAUGGUAUACCAUGAUAAUACAAGCGGAUGGAGUACUAAGUUCAAGCUUAUGGAAUCUUAACAAUGAAAGUGCAUAAGAGUAGAAGCAUUGCUGGGUAGUCAAGUACAUGAGUAUUGCUGGGAAGUCAGGUACAAGCAAUGUUGCUGGGAAGUAGUGGCGGCGACGAUUACAGCCUCCCUUUGUUGAAGAUAGGACAACACCUAUCCCUCCUAGCUGGAGACUCUAAAUGGAGCCAUCAAAAUAAUUUUUGCUCCUUGGCAAUUGUUUGUAACAACCAUUUUUUGAUGAGACAUGUUGUUGUGUACAAAAUGCAGCUCCUAGAUCUAUGUUGAUAUAGUUUAACCUAACU